rnacentral:misc_RNA from 1 species
GAUGAAGAACGUAGUGAAAUGCGAUAAGUAAUGUGAAUUGCAGAAUUCAGUGAAUCAUCGAAUCUUUGAACGCACAUUGCGCCCCUUGGUAUUCCGAGGGGCAUGCCUGUUCGAGCGUCAUUAUAACCCAUCAAGCUCAGCUUGGUGUUGGGGCCUGCUGCACUGGCAGCCCUUAAAAUCAGUGGCGGCGCCAUCUGGCUCUAAGCGUAGUAAUUCUUCUCGCUAUGGAGUCCUGGUGGAUGCUUGCCAUCAACCCCCAAUUUUUCUAUGGUUGACCUCGGAUCAGGUAGGGAUACCCGCUGAACUUAAGCAUAUCAAUAAGCGGAGGA